rnacentral:rRNA from 1 species
GCAGUAGCCGCGGUAAUACAGAGGGUGCGAGCGUUAAUCGGAUUUACUGGGCGUAAAGCGUGCGUAGGCGGCUUCUUAAGUCGGAUGUGAAAUCCCUGAGCUUAACUUAGGAAUUGCAUUCGAUACUGGGAAGCUAGAGUAUGGGAGAGGAUGGUAGAAUUCCAGGUGUAGCGGUGAAAUGCGUAGAGAUCUGGAGGAAUACCGAUGGCGAAGGCAGCCAUCUGGCCUAAUACUGACGCUGAGGUACGAAAGCAUGGGGAGCAAACAGGAUUAGAUACCCCCGUAGUCCCUGUCUCUUAUAC